UACAGAGGUCUCAAGCGUUGUUCGGAUUCAUUGGGCGUAAAGGGUGCGUAGGCGGCGCGGUAAGUCGGGUGUGAAAUCUCGGGGCUUAACUCCGAAACUGCAUUCGAUACUGCCGUGCUUGAGGACUGGAGAGGAGACUGGAAUUUACGGUGUAGCGGUGAAAUGCGUAGAUAUCGUAAGGAACACCUGUGGCGAAAGCGGCUCACUGGACCAUAACUGACGCUGAGGCGCGAAAGCUAGGGGAGCAAACAGG
rnacentral:rRNA from 1 species